rnacentral:rRNA from 1 species
UACGUAGGGAGCAAGCGUUGUCCGGAAUCAUUGGGCGUAAAGCGCGCGUAGGUGGCUUCGUAAGUCCGUUGUGAAAGUCAAAGGCUCAACCUUUGAAAGCCGAUGGAUACUGUGGAGCUAGAGUACGGAAGAGGCGAGUGGAAUUCCUGGUGUAGCGGGUGGAAUGCGCAGAUAUCAGGAGGAACACCAAUAGCGAAGGCAGCUCGCUGGGACGUACUGACACUGAGGCGCGAAAGCGUGGGGAGCGAACAGG